rnacentral:rRNA from 1 species
AUUGAACGCUGGCGGCAGGCCUAACACAUGCAAGUCGAGCGGAUGAGAGGAGCUUGCUUCUCGAUUCAGCGGCGGACGGGUGAGUAAUGCCUAGGAAUCUGCCUGGUAGUGGGGGACAACGUUUCGAAAGGAACGCUAAUACCGCAUACGUCCUACGGGAGAAAGCAGGGGACCUUCGGGCCUUGCGCUAUCAGAUGAGCCUAGGUCGGAUUAGCUAGUUGGUGAGGUAAUGGCUCACCAAGGCGACGAUCCGGAACUGGUCUGAGAGGAUGAUCAGUCACACGGGAACUGAGAAGAGGUCCAGACUCCUACGGGAGGCAGCAGUGGGGAAUAUUGGACAAUGGGCGAAAGCCUGAUCCAGCCAUGCCGCGUGUGUGAAGAAGGUCUUCGGAUUGUAAAGCACUUUAAGUUGGGAGGAAGGGUUGUAGAUUAAUACUCUGCAAUUUUGACGUUACCGACAGAAUAAGCACCGGCUAACUCUGUGCCAGCCGCCGCCGUAACAC